AUCUCAGUUGUUCUCCUGACAGCUGCCAGAGAAUUCAACAUUAAUGAAUAAAUGGUACGGAAGUGGAGGAAGCCAGAAGAAUGAGUUAAAUUUUGACUUAUCUGACUGUUUUGUUUCGCUUAAUGCGCCUUAUAAUCCGGUGCACCUUAUGGUGCAAAAAAUACGGACAGAUGGACGUGUUUGCAGUCCAAUCAUCUGAUAAUGGCUUACAGUGAACAGACACCAGCAACCACAGUUCGUCAGCACUAAUGUUGCACGUCUGUGAAGAACAACAGCACCACCGUUAUAGAACAACAGAACGUGUC
ensembl:lncRNA